UCCGCUCCGAGCCAAAUCCGCAACACAAAAAACACAAGCACGUAAUUUACGUUCUCUGUCCGGCGACCAGUGCUGCCAAUCAAUGAUUACAAAUGCAGAACUUUGCAACACUCUUUUCGUCUCCAUCUUCGGCUUCAGUAGUCCUCUCAUUCCAACAAUUGAAGUAGCUGUCAAUUCGCACGGCGAAAUUCUACGCGGCGAAAUGUCCCUUCAAUAACGCGUCUGUUUUGCACGGCAAGAAAACUGCGCUACUUUCCCAUCUAAAAUUUAGUGAUUCGUUGAAAAAAUGUUAAAGAAAACAAUAUAAUUUGUAGGAAAACUUGCAAAAUAGUAAAGCAGCUACAGAGCGCAAAACCCGCACUCAAUACAAUACGCAAAUAAUCGUUGUGCCGUCGUGCAAAAGUCUUAGAAAAUGGAGUCGUUAUUCGAUAAACUAAAAUCAGAGCCCCCGGUUAAUAAAAAAGCUGUGGAGCCCCCAAAAAAAGGCGAAACAAUCAAGGCUUCGAAGCGGUCACCUUCGCCUAUGUCGCUUAAAGAUCUGCAGACGCAAAAUAAAAUUAAAAAGCCAACAUCGAAACGUGCUGAGAAAACAACUGCACGGCGUGAGUCUAUGCCGCCACCGGCAACAAAUUUCGUUGCGAAAAGUGUAAGUAAAAGCCGCAGUUUGUCCCCACCAAAAGGAGUUUUUGUUAAACCAUUCAAAGUGCUUUUGGAAAGAAAGAAAAUUGAGUUUUGCAAUAAAAUUGGCAAAUCAUCAAAAA